GUGGGUUUUGAGAAGAUGCGGUCCGUUGGCUAUAAUGUUGACAGACCACCCGCUCCCUUACUGACGCAGUUGACGCGUUUGAUAGCAGGAUCAUAGUACGGGACCAGUUCCCCUACCAACUGGUCCCGUAACCACUAUGAUCCUGCUAUCAAAGGCGUCAACUACGUCAAUAAGGCAGCGGGUGGUCAAUAUACAUUAUUGCCAACGGACCGGUUCUCCUCAAAUGUCAC
rnacentral:pre_miRNA from 1 species